GCCUGGCUGGCUCAGUAAGAAGAGCGGGUGACUCUUGAUCUCGGGAUUGUAGGUUUGAACCCCACGUUGGGUG
rnacentral:tRNA from 1 species